rnacentral:lncRNA from 1 species
GGGCUCCAAUGAGACUGUCUCUACUCAGAUUGGUGCCUUGAUGCAGUUCAUGACGAGAGCUGUGGAACAAUUGGACACCAUCAGACUUUCUCUCCUAGCACAGUCCAUAGCUUCCCAGGCUACAGCAUCUUUUCGUCCUUUUGCUCGUGCCGGUACUUCUACCCAUGGCUGAGGCAGACGAGGUCGAGGACGUGCCCGUGGCUUUGAUC